UACCUGAAUAGUUUAAUUAAAACAUUGAUUUGUGGUGUCAAGGAUGUAAUCCGUUACUUCGGGU
rnacentral:tRNA from 1 species